UGGAGGGUCUGCCGGUGGUGGACUUCGGAUGGCAUCGGGGAGGUUCGACAGACAUCGGAGGUGAUCGAUCGUUGUAUAAAUCCAGCUGUCGGAGUCCGUCCAUCGUAGAAGCUCAUCCGAUAUCCAUCCGCUAUGAAAGUUCAGACGGAGUCUGGUUCUUGUAGAAGGCUGAAAGGAGACCGCUUAUUGUAGAAGCUUGGUCGAAGAUCGAUUGUCGUGGGAGCUCGAAGUAGCGAUCUGGCCGAUGGGCCCUAUCCCAUUGUAGAAGCUCAUCUGGGAUCCAGCUAUGAAGAAGCUCGGCUGAAGUCUACCUGUAAUAGAAGUUCAGAAGAAAUGUGUUUACAGUAGAGGCUCGAAUGGAAUUUGCUUACAGUAGAGAUCCGGGGUAGACCGCCC
rnacentral:lncRNA from 1 species